rnacentral:rRNA from 1 species
GGAUCCAGACUUUGAUUAUGGCUCAGGACGAACGCUGGCGGCGUGCUUAACACAUGCAAGUCGAACGGAGAAUUUAUUUCGGUAAAUUCUUAGUGGCGAACGGGUGAGUAACGCGUAGGCAACCUGCCCUCCAGUUGGGGACAACAUUCCGAAAGGAAUGCUAAUACCGAAUGUGAUCCCUUUUCCGCAUGGAGAAGGGAUGAAAGAUGGCCUCUAUUUAUAAGCUAUCGCUGGAAGAUGGGCCUGCGUCUGAUUAGCUAGUUGGUGGGGUAACGGCUCACCAAGGCGAUGAUCAGUAGCCGGUCUGAGAGGAUGAACGGCCACAUUGGGACUGAGACACGGCCCAAACUCCUACGGGAGGCAGCAGUGGGGAAUCUUCCGCAAUGGACGAAAGUCUGACGGAGCAACGCCGCGUGAGUGAUGAAGGUCUUCGGAUUGUAAAACUCUGUUGUCAGGGACGAAUGUGCGAACGUUGAAUAAGCGUUUGUAUUGACGGUACCUGACGAGGAAGCCACGGCUAACUACGUGCCAGCAGCCGCGGUAAUACGUAGGUGGCAAGCGUUGUCCGGAAUUAUUGGGCGUAAAGAGCAUGUAGGCGGGCUUUUAAGUCCGACGUGAAAAUGCGGGGCUUAACCCCGUAUGGCGUUGGAUACUGGAAGUCUUGAGUGCAGGAGAGGAAAGGGGAAUUCCCAGUGUAGCGGUGAAAUGCGUAGAUAUUGGGAGGAACACCAGUGGCGAAGGCGCCUUUCUGGACUGUGUCUGACGCUGAGAUGCGAAAGCCAGGGUAGCAAACGGGAUUAGAUACCCCGGUAGUCCUGGCCGUAAACGAUGGGUACUAGGUGUAGGAGGUAUCGACCCCUUCUGUGCCGGAGUUAACGCAAUAAGUACCCCGCCUGGGGACUACGAUCGCAAG